rnacentral:rRNA from 1 species
UGGGGAACUUGAGUGCAGAAGAGGAGAGUGGAAUUCCACGUGUAGCGGUGAAAUGCGAUAGAGAUGUGGAGGAACACCAGUGGCGAAGGCGACUCUCUGGUCUGUAACUGACGCUGAGGAGCGAAAGCGUGGGGAGCGAACAGGAUUAGAUACCCUGGUAGUCCACGCCGUAAACGAUGAGUGCUAAGUGUUAGGGGGUUUCCGCCCCUUAGUGCUGCAGCUAACGCAUUAAGCACUCCGCCUGGGGAGUACGGUCGCAAGACUGAAACUCAAAGGAAUUGACGGGGGCCCGCACAAGCGGUGGAGCAUGUGGUUUAAUUCGAAGCAACGCGAAGAACCUUACCAGGUCUUGACAUCCUCUGACAAUCCUAGAGAUAGGACGUCCCCUUCGGGGGCAGAGUGACAGGUGGUGCAUGGUUGUCGUCAGCUCGUGUCGUGAGAUGUUGGGUUAAGUCCCGCAACGAGCGCAACCCUUGAUCUUAGUUGCCAGCAUUCAGUUGGGCACUCUAAGGUGACUGCCGGUGACAAACCGGAGGAAGGUGGGGAUGACGUCAAAUCAUCAUGCCCCUUAUGACCUGGGCUACACACGUGCUACAAUGGACAGAACA